CGACUCUCGGCAACGGAUAUCUCGGCUCUCGCAUCGAUGAAGAACGUAGCGAAAUGCGAUACUUGGUGUGAAUUGCAGAAUCCCGUGAACCAUCGAGUCUUUGAACGCAAGUUGCGCCCGAAGCCUCCAGGCCGAGGGCACGCCUGCCUGGGCGUCUCGCAACGCGUCGCAACCAACC
rnacentral:rRNA from 1 species